rnacentral:pre_miRNA from 1 species
CAAAUACUCCCUCUGUCCAGAAUUACUUGUCGCAAAAAUGGAUGUAUUUAAACUAAAAUACAUCUAGAUACAUCCAUUUCUCCGACAAGUAUUUCUGAACGGAGGGAGUACGUA